rnacentral:rRNA from 1 species
GGGGAAUUUUCCGCAAUGGGCGAAAGCCUGACGGAGCAAUACCGCGUGAGGGAUGACGGCCUAUGGGUUGUAAACCUCUUUUUUCAGGGUAGGAAUCAAUGACGUGUACCUGAAGAAUAAGCAUCGGCUAACUCCGUGCCAGCAGCCGCGGUAAGACGGAGGAUGCAAGUGUUAUCCGGAAUCACUGGGCGUAAAGCGUCUGUAGGUGGUUUGAUAAGUCAACUGUUAAAUCUUGAGGCUCAACCUCAAAAUCGCAGUCGAAACUAUUAGACUAGAGUAUAGUAGGGGUAAAGGGAAUUUCCAGUGGAGCGGUGAAAUGCGUAGAUAUUGGAAAGAACACCGAUGGCGAAGGCACUUUACUGGGCUAUUACUAACACUCAGAGACGAAAGCUAGGGUAGCAAAUGGGAUUAGAUACCCCAGUAGUC